UAUAUAAUUUAAGAUUUUUUUUAUAUUACUUGCAUUCAAUCAAAGUUGUAUUCUCUAACUUUGAUGGUGUGUAAUGCACAGCAUUUUUAUUUCUCUUUGGUAUGGACUAAAGAGGAAAAAAAGGCUUCGUUGUCUAAAGGUUGACUUUUAGGAUCUUAAUAUUACGAGGGAAUAAGAGAAAAGAGGAAUUAAAACGGGCAUAUCAUAAGAAGUAGAAAAAGAAGACCUUGAAAGGAAGAAAAAUGAAGAGAUUUUACAUAUUGUGGCAAUGUUUCUUCUAGGGGUUAAAGAGGAAAAAAGGAUUCGUUGUCUAAAGGUUGACUUUGAGGAUUUUAAUAUUACGAGGGAAUAAGAGAAAAGAGGAAUUAAAACGGGCAUAUCAUAAGAAGUAGAAAAAGAAGACCUUGAAACGAAGAAAAAUGAAGAGAUUUUACAUAUUGUGGCAAUGUUUCUUCUAGGGACUAAAGAGGAAAAAAGGCUUCGUUGUCUAAAGGUUGACUUUGAGGAUUUUAAUAUUACGAGGGAAUAAGAGAAAAGAGGAAUUAAAACGGGCAUAUCAUAAGAAGUAGAAAAAGAAGACCUUGAAAGGAAGAAAAAUGAAGAGAUUUUACAUAUUGUGGCAAUGUUUCUUCUAGGGGUUAAAGAGGAAAAAAGGAUUCGUUGUCUAAAGGUUGACUUUGAGGAUUUUAAUAUUACGAGGGAAUAAGAGUAAAGAGGAAUUAAAACGGGCAUAUCAUAAGAAGUAGAAAAAGACCUUGAAAGGAAGAAAAAUGAAAAGAUUUUACAUAUUGUGGCAAUGUUUCUUCUAGGUAAUAUAAGAUUUAUUUAUAUUACUUGCAUUCAAUCAAAGUUGUAUUCUUAAACUUUGAUGGUGUGUAAUGCGCAGCAUUUUUAUUUCUCUUUGGUAGGGGUUAAAGAGGAAAAAAGGAUUCGUUGUCUAAAGUUUGACUUUGAGGAUUUUAAUAUUACGAGGGAAUAAGAGAAAAGAGAAAUUAAAACGGGCAUAUCAUAAGAAGUAGAAAAAGAAGACCUUGAAAGGAAGAAAAAUGAAGAGAUUUUACAUAUUGUGGCAAUGUUUCUUCUAGGGACUAAAGAGGAAAAAAAGGCUUCGUUGUCUAAAGGUUGACUUUGAGGAUUUUAAUAUUACGAGGGAAUAAAAGAAAAGAGGAAUUAAAACGGGCAUAUCAUAAGAAGUAGAAAAAGAAGACCUUGAAAGGAAGAAAAAUGAAGAGAUUUUACAUAUUGUGGCAAUGUUUCUUCUAUGUAAUAUAGGAUUUAUUUAUAUUACUUGCAUUCAAUCAAAGUUGUAUUCUUUAACUUUGAUGGUGUGUAAUGCGCAGCAUUUU